rnacentral:rRNA from 1 species
CAAUAGCGUAUGUUAAAAUUGCUGCAGUUAAAGCGUCCGUAGUCGGAUUUCGUCUAUUCGAGAUGGAUGCAGUAGCCACUCGUGGCUCACUAGCGCUUUCUCUUUUAGGCUAGGGUGGGGCUUUGGGGCAACUCAUUGUUCCACCCAGUUACUUUGAGCAAAUUGGAGUGCUCCAACCAGGCUUUAGCUUGAACAGCUCAGCAUGGAAUAACGAGAUAGGACUUUGGUUCUUCUUGUUGGUGUCAUGAACCAAAAGUAAUGGUUGAUAAGGACAUACGGGGGCAUUUGUACUUGCUGGAGAGAGGUGAAAUUCUUAGACCCAGCAAAGACAAACAAGUGCGAAAGCAUUUGCCCAGUGUGUGCCUGUUGA